UGAAUCGCACAACGUAGAUGGGAAAAAUGGGAAGCUAAGCCUUAGAGCUUAUCCCCAGGUGUUAAGCUGCUUACUAGAAGCCAUUCAGAUGUCUGAAGGAGGACAGCCGGCGGAGAAGGUGCUCCGAAAUGCCAUCGGCUGCGCCAAAAAUACU